rnacentral:rRNA from 1 species
AUGCGGCAGCUUCAGCUCAUCACCAACAUGAGGGCUCAUAAUGACACGUGGUUUGCAGAUUACUUGCUAAGGGUCGGCAAUGGCACUGAGGAUGUCGACGAUCAAGGCAACAUACUACUCCCUGAAGACAUUUGUUUGCCAUCUGCAGGCGAGGUUGACGACCUAGAGAACCUUAUUGACCACGUGUUUCUGAGUCUAGAUGACAACAUGUCUGAUUCGAAUUACAUGACAUCUCGAGCAAUCCUUUCCAUGACAAACGACAAUGUAGACAAGAUAAACAUCCGCAUGAUAGAGCGUCUUCAUGGAGAUGAAGUAAUCUACCAUAGCUUUGACAGUGCGGAGGACGACCUAUGGCUACGACGCUCAGGAGUUUCUGAAUGGAUUGACUCCUAA